GAUGAACGCUGGCGGCGUGCCUAAUACAUGCAAGUCGAGCGAACAGACGAGGAGCUUGCUCCUCUGACGUUAGCGGCGGACGGGUGAGUAACACGUGGAUAACCUACCUAUAAGACUGGGAUAACUUCGGGGAACCGGAGCUAAUACCGGAUAAUAUAUUGAACCGCAUGGUUCAAUAGUGAAAGACGGUUUUGCUGUCACUUAUAGAUGGAUCCGCGCCGCAUUAGCUAGUUGGUAAGGUAACGGCUUACCAAGGCGACGAUGCGUAGCCGACCUGAGAGGGUGAUCAGCCACACUGGAACUGAGACACGGUCCAGACUCCUACGGGAGGCAGCAGUAGGGAAUCUUCCGCAAUGGGCGAAAGCCUGACGGAGCAACGCCGCGUGAGUGAUGAAGGUCUUCGGAUCGUAAAACUCUGUUAUUAGGGAAGAACAAAUGUGUAAGUAACUAUGCACGUCUUGACGGUACCUAAUCAGAAAGCCACGGCUAACUACGUG
rnacentral:rRNA from 1 species